CCCUUAGAUGUUCUGGGCCGCACGCGCGCUACACUGACGAAUGCAACGAGCUUAUAACCUUGGCCGAAAGGUCUGGGUAAUCUCCAAAUUACGUCGUGAUGGGGAUAGAUUAUUGCAAUUAUUAAUCUUCAACGAGGAAUGCCUAGUAAGCGCAAGUCAUCAGCUUGCGUUGAUUACGUCCCUGCCCUUUGUACACACCGCCCGUCGCUCCUACCGAUUGAAUGGUCCGGUGAAGCGUUCGGACCGUGGCCUUUGGACGGUUCGCCGUCUGUUGGCUGCGGGAAGUUCGUUAAACCUUAUCAUUUAGAGGAAGGAGAAGUCGUAACA
rnacentral:rRNA from 1 species